GGUUUGUGGCUCAGUGGUAGAGCACUUGCUUAGCAUGCAUGAGGCACUGGGUUCAAUCCCAGGCACCA
rnacentral:tRNA from 1 species